CCUUAUACAGCACCAAUAGGACUAGUGACACAGAACCUUGCCAUGCAGAUUGCAUCAGGCAUGCAUGGGCUCCCCUGUACUCUGCGAACGAGACUUGCUGAAAAUUGAAAAUUAAAAAAAAAAAAUCGGGGGAUUGCUGUGGGUGUAAAUUAGGGUGGUGAGCUAUCAUUUUUAUAUCUGUUUUUUUCUGUCUCUCUUUCUCCAUCGGGACUUCUGUUUCACUCUUUUGGCUAAAUUUCACCACUUGCCCUGGCCUUUUAGAAGCUUGCAAGCAAACAUGAUUAAGGAGUGAGCGCUGAGAACUGGAAGGCUGACAAUGUGAGAUCUUCAAAAUGUAAUGAGCCAAGAGGUUCGUCCACCACCGCCAGGCAAGGCGCUGCCACGGGGGCGGGUGGCUAGAAGAAGAUUCACGGCGAGUCAUGCAAGGAGUCGUCAAGAAAUGACAGUAAACCAGGGUGGAGUAAAAGGAGGAGGAGGAGGCUUUGGGCGAGCCGAGGCACCACGACACCAGCAGCAGCAGCCUAGCUGGCGACACGAUCCUUCUGGUCUCGCUUCGGGCAGGGACACGCAGGGAAAUGCAAUUAGUGCAGUAUAGAGUUGACGUUCCAGCAUAUGGCAUUUCCAACACUGUUUUUACCGCAGGGAAAAUGAGGGACUUUUGGGGGCAGAUGUGUUUUACUUGCACUAUCAUAAUGCCCCUAAAAAUCCUUAUUGCUCUUGCAGUGUUCUUCAUUGGUUCAUUGCUUCAUAAAGCAGAGGAGACCUCUCAGAACUGUAAUAUUGUGUGUUGACAAUGGCAAAUAAAAAUCUGUUACAGAGCUUGACUGCUUUUGAGCAAACAACAGGACAGCAGCAAUCAUAGCAAUAAAAUUUACUGCAGUUAAUUUACAAGCACAAUUGUAAUGUUUUUUCCUAAGAAAAAGAGAUGACAAUGUAAGCAUCUCCCCAGGUAUUAAAUGCUGUGACGUGUGUGA